GGUAAAAUGGCCGAGUAGGUAUUAGGCUGUAAACCUAAGAACAGAGGUACAAGCCCUCUUUUUACCA
rnacentral:tRNA from 1 species